AGCAUCAAGAGUCAGGCAGGGGCAGCAGCCCACGUUCAGCUGGAAUUCUGUGGCUUAACCCAGGGGUUUUCUGUGUGUCACGAGAGAUAACACAACACUCUCACCAACGACGUUGAAUAAAUUAUAUUUAGGACUCACAAGCUGGUAGUGGGAACUAUUUGCAGCUAUUUGAGCAGGGGAGGAAUGACGACCAAAGCUGUAUUUAAGGAAGAAGAAUCUGACAGUGCUGCGUGGGCUUCGCUGGAACUGGGCAGUGAGAAGGCUAGAAAUUGCAUUUGUUCCGGUAAAAGUGAUAAAAAAGAAAUGACCAGAAGUGGAAAGGCGGGUUGGUGAACCAAUGUUUCCACCUCUGAAGGGCCAUGGAGCCAGGGAGGAGGAUUUACUCUUCUCUGUUAAGAAGGAGCUCUGCUGUCCUGACCAAAUGCCAGAAGAUGUGACUUUGCUCAGACCAAGCUACCAAAGACCACUGCCCUUCGUUCCACGAGCCUGGCCCUGUCUACACAGACGGGCAACCCAGGAGCCAGAUCCAGGAGCCGACAGGUAACUCUGGACCACACAGCCCUUGGCAACUGU
rnacentral:lncRNA from 1 species